UAUCUUUGCACCGCAAUUGGUUCCCCGUUUCGAGGGGAUUAAAAUGGGAAUCGGGUGAAAGUCCCGAACAGUCCCGCUGCUGUAAUCGGCAUUAGUCCGGCAUGCACAAGCCACUGAACAUUUUUCGGGAAGGCGCAUGCCGGAGGCCGUGAGUCAGAAGACCUGCCAUUGCCUACGGUUCAUUU
rnacentral:ncRNA from 19 species